AUGAUUGGCAUGCGCUCCACCUUUGGUCACACAAUCCCUUGCCACACACCAUUCCAAGGCCACCACGCCACACCACCAGAUCCCAUCGCCGCCGCCUCGCACUCGCAUCCCAUCGCCGCCGCCUCGCACUCGCAUCCCAUCGCCGCCGCCCGUGCGUUCUCGAUCGGAGAGGACGCUCCCUUCGCCGCCGCUGAGAUCCGAGAAGAGUUGCCCUUCGCCGGCGCCAAGAUCCUGUGCCCCUCUAAAGACCCCUCUCUCUCGCGACACCGCCUCCCUUACAAGGACGCCACGCCAUGGGUCUCCAUCGGUGCCACGACUGCCGCGGCCUCCCCACCUGCCGACGCUCUAGAUCCGGCCGUAGUUGAUUCCCUGUACAUCAUCUCAAGGAGGAGGGGCGUGAGGCGGUUGCCGCCGCCGGUGGCUGCACUUGUAGGUCUCCGCCGCUUGCUCCAACCAGAUCCAGCCAGACCGUCCUGUGGUGGUCCACGUGCAUCUGGACGGACGCAACGGCUUUGCCUCCCCUGUCCCAUGUCUUCGUCCACCACACCAUCCCAUUGCGCGCCGGCGCUCACGGAGGAGAACCUGAUGUUCCUAGAGGCCUGGCGCGCGGUCGAUCACACUUACUACGACAAGUCCUCCAACGGGUGGAGCUGGUUCAGUGAGCUGGGAACUCAAAAUUCCAAUAAGUCGACGGCCGCUGCGGUGCCCACGUCCGCGUCAUUAGUGCUGCUAAGGGGCGCUUCACCCUGUUCGGCAUUAUCUUCUAUUCUUCCUACGGCUGCAAGAACCCUCACCUUGGCUAUGGCAGAUGCGACAGAUAAAGCAGGAGGUCAUCUUCUCUCCUUUCUCUUCUACCAUUAG
rnacentral:rRNA from 1 species